rnacentral:lncRNA from 1 species
UUCGGUAUUUUCUUGAAGUAUUCAUUGAAAUAAGAGAAAUGUGGGAUUCAUCAUAACACUUUAUCAGGAGAAUAUAUAAAAUGUAAACUUGUAUUUUAUUUUUUCAUAUAGUAGAAUAUCUCUCUCUCCCUCUUUCUGUGGACAUAGGCAAUUGUCGAAUCGUAUAAAUUUUGAUUUUUUUUCUUUCUGCAUUUACUUUUUUUUAUCUCGCUCGACUUUUUCUAUUUUUUGUGCAUAUUUGUAGGUAGAAUUUAAUCAAAU